rnacentral:tRNA from 1 species
AGGAUUGUAGUUCAAUUAGUCAGAGCACCGCCCUGUCAAGGUGGAAGUUGCGGGUUCGAGCCCCCGUCAUUCUAG